AACUGGUUGGGCCACUUACAUUUGGAUUUGGAAAUAAGAUUUUUCCUUGAGUUGUUUGUGGUGGACAUAAUUCCGGGCUGGAAUUACGUUACCUAAGAGAAGGCUUGCUACAUUUCAGAUCAAUCUCACUAUGGAAUGAACUGCCCAAAAUACACGAUGUCUGGCAUGAAUAGCAAAUACAAAUUAAAGAAGUAAUCAAAACAACACAUCUGUUAACAACUGCUGAAUGACUGACUAACAUGGCACCUGCAAGACUGAGUCAUUUUGGGGCAGCACAACAUUGAGAAACUGAGUCUCCAAAAUGGAAUACCAGAUUCACUUGAGGACCUUCUGAGCGUGGUAAAGCAUACCUUUAGGUUAAAGGGUGACAUCCGACUUCAGUAUAUGGAUAAAAAUUUUGCCCAUCAAUUUUUAAAUUUGAAUUCUACCACUGACCUUCAGGAUUUGGGGACACCUCAUCUCAUUCACAUGAGUCUGAUGAUAGUGUUUCUUUGGCAUCAAGCGACACACUAAUCCUCUUGUCCCCUGAGUUUGUUUUCAUGUCGAACACAACAGUGGCCAGAGGAAGUUACAGUUCCACAAUUUUCAUACGACACAGCUGCAGCUAGUAAAGGGGAAUUCCGAUUACCAUGUGAGCCAAAAAAUGUUGACUGUCGGGACCCGAAUGAAGUCGGAUAUCUUGAAUAGAUUAGCAGAAGACAUUUACAGAUACAAGGCCCACCCAGAAGAUGAACAUUUCUGUGCAGUUGCAGAGGCCUUUAUCAAAAAGCACCCUUGCUUGAGAGAACAAGGCUCAUUCAAUGGCUGCUACGGUUGGAAACAACGAUUAAUAUAUAAGAUGGGAAACUACAGGACUCAGCUCAAAGUGCAGGGGUGUCCAGAGCUGUCUUUUAACUCCCUAAAAUGCAAAGCUUCUGCAGAUUGUUUCCCUGCUAGAAAAGUAAAAAAGCCAAAAAGAGCUGAAGCAAACUUUUAUCCAUCCUUCCCUACUGGUGAGACGCUGGAAAGCCUUGAAAAAGAAAGACUUGAACUUCUGACAGAGAUCACCUUAAGAAACAACGAAAGGGUCAUCGCAGACAAAAUGCUUUGCACGUUUGCCUACAGACGACAGGAGGUGGUAAACCAAGAACCCAGCAUUAAGGACUUCAAGGACAGAUGGCCUGCACUGUUCCAACAGAAAGAGGUAAUAAUGGAACUGACGCGUUCAGUCUUUAUCUUUCAGGUUUUGUUAAAGUGAGCUAGUCAGAAAUUGAUAUGGCUGAAAUUAAAGUGCUAGUUCUACUAUUUUGAAGUGGGGUUGUAUGAGAUACUUAAUCAUAGUCAUUGUCUUACUAGCUGGUGGUCAGCAGGUCCCAUAGCACCAGCAUCAGUUUAAGUCCUUAUACAACCUCACUUCAAAAGAGCUGAACUAUCACUUUAUGUGUAACACUGCUUACUAAGAAUGUACAUAUUUGAUUUCUCAUUCUCAUUUCCAUACACUUAUUCUUCCCCUGUCCUCUGUCUUCUCUGCUUCAUCUCUUUCCACUUCAUAACAAGGAAUAUGCAUGGAAUGUUUUGAGCUCCUCGAAGCUACAUCAUUAAGUUUGUGUCAAA